rnacentral:lncRNA from 1 species
AUGUCCAUCUCUACCUCCUUUUAAAGAGUCGACUCACACCACCUCAAUCAACGCACAUGGCUACUCACCAUUAAACCCUUUUAUACUACUUAUACCUUUCUGCUUUGUUUAGCCCCCAAUAUACAUUUCUCUCUCUCUCUCCCAAUCUCUCUCUUGUCUAGUAUUUGAAUUCAAUAAUAUGUCGUCGAUUUCAUCAGAGAAGGGUGAAAGAGUUGCUGCAGAUAAGAAUUCAAGCGAAAAUAGAAUUGAAUGGUUCAAUAUCACUGUUCGAGUGCGAAAUUUCAUCGGGGUAGGUUCUAGAUCAUACAGAUAUGUGACGGUUUCAAUGAUUUUUUUUUUGAGAAUUUAUUAAAACUAUCAAUCUUGAAACAGAAAAUAAUGAAGGAGUUUAGAGAGAAGGUGAAAGAAGAAGAGAAGGAGAAGGAAGCCCGUCAAGUCGCAAAGGCCGAACAAUUAGCUGCAGAAGGAAUAAAUAUUGCGGCAGAGGCUGAACCAGCAGUCCCUAUUUCUUUCAAAAGACCAAAUGAAGAAGAUAUCCACCCUUUUGAUUAUACUCAAAUGGUACUUCCAUGAUCUUUAUCUCUAUAUUUGCAUGUUUAUAUAUGAAUGCAAUUUUACAUACUGGUUUUUUAGAUCAUAGUGUAGUCAGUGUCAAUUAAUUUGUAGGGGAACCAGAAAGGACGCAAAAGACAAACUAAAUGUCCAGUAGCUGGAACAACUACAGUCUCAUUUACACUUCCUGAGGAUCUCCUAACUAUGGCUGAUAAUAUUGAUCUUGUUAGUAAACUUUUCUAUCACUUAAAUCUCUAAGAUUUUCUUUUAGGCCAAAUGGGUUUUGUUACAAAACUCUUUAAUGGUUAAUUUUCUUACCGACAGUACACUCCAGAGCAUCUUCGACCCAAUACAAAUCUCAGAUACACAAUUCAGCAAAGAAUCAAAGGCUGGACGGUUGAGAAACGACAACGGGAUACUAAAAUAUGUGAUACAGUAAGUCCCUUUUAGUUUCUUCAACGUAAGAAAUUAUGUUUUUAGAGUACUAUCUUCAUAUGGAAAUAGAAAAGGAAAACUGAUAAUAUUUAUAUUCAUCUGGGACUGCAGUACUAUAUUCAUAGGGAAUCUAUGGGGUUCUUUCGAUCUGUUGUCGAGGUUACAGAUUUCAUACUUUAUGAAAUCUAUCCAAAGAAACCCACUCCAAAGUCAAGGAAGAAGAAUGCAGAAGAAGAGAGUAGUUCUGUAGUGCCACCGGGAGAAAGUACUACUCAAAUGCAGAAAAAGGUGAGAAGACCAAGGAAAAAUAAGGAGGAUGGGGAACAAGGGAGAACCCCAGUUAAGAGGAAGGUUGGCAGGGCAAGAAAGGUAGCGGAUGGAGAAGAAAGGACUUCUUCUGUAUGUUGGUUUUGAGGAUACACACACGCACACACACACACAUAAUGCACUUGGUUAGAAAUAGUUCAUGAAUGUGUACAGUGUUGUGUAAU